rnacentral:rRNA from 1 species
UGAGUAACCUGCCCUUAACUCUGGGAUAAGCCUGGGAACCUGGGUCUAAUACCGGAUAUGACUCCUCAUCGCAUGGUGGGGGGUGGAAAGCUUUAUUGUGGUUUUGGAUGGACUCGCGGCCUAUCAGCUUGUUGGUGAGGUAAUGGCUCACCAAGGCGACGACGGGUAGCCGGCCUGAGAGGGUGACCGGCCACACUGGGACUGAGACACGGCCCAGACUCCUACGGGAGGCAG